rnacentral:rRNA from 1 species
GACGAACGCUGGCGGCGUGCUUAACGCAUGCCAGUCGAACGGAAAGGCCCUGCUUUUGUGGGGUGCUCGAUUGGCGAACGGGUGAGUAACACGUGAGUAACCUGCCCUUGACUGUGGGAUAACUUCAGGAAACUGGGGCUAAUACCGGAUAGGAGCUCCUGCUGCAUGGUGUGGGAUGGAAAGUUUCGGCGGUUGGGGCUGGACUCGCGGCUUAUCAGCUUGUUGGUGGGGUAGUGGCUUACCAAGGCUUUGACGGGUAGCCGGCCUGAGAGGGUGACCGGCCACCUUGGGCCUGAGAUACGGCCCAGACUCCUACGGGAGGCAGCAGUGGGGAAUAUUGCACAGUGGGCGGAAGCCUGAGGCAGAAACGUCGCGUGCGGGAUGACGGCUUUCGGGUUGUAAACCGCUUUCGCAUGUGACGAAGCGUGAGUGACGGUAAUGGGUAAAGAAGCACCGGCUAACUACGUG